rnacentral:rRNA from 1 species
UACGGGGGGAGCAAGCGUUGUUCGGAUUUACUGGGCGUAAAGGGCGCGUAGGCGGCCUGACAAGUGGAAGGUGAAAUCCCUCGGCUCAACUGAGGAACUGCCCUCCAAACUGUUUGGCUUGAGACCGGGAGAGGUGAGUGGAAUUCCCAGUGUAGCGGUGAAAUGCGUAGAUAUUGGGAGGAACACCAGUGGCGAAGGCGGCUCACUGGACCGGUACUGACGCUGAGGCGCGAAAGCGUGGGGAGCAAACGGG